GGGGGGGGGGGGGGGGGGGGCGGGGGGGGGCAGGGCGGGCGAGCGGAUGAGGAGCUUGCUCCUCUGACGUUAGCGGCGGACGGGUGAGUAACACGUGGCUAACCUACCUAUAGGACUGGGAUAACUACGGGAACCCGGAGCUAAUACCGGAUAAUAUAUUGAACCGCAUGGUUCAAUAGUGAAAGACGGUUUUGCUGUCACUUAUAGAUGGACCCGCGCCGCAUUAGCUAGUUGGUAAGGUAACGGCUUACCAAGGCAACGAUGCGUAGCCGACCUGAGAGGGUGAUCGGCCACACUGGAACUGAGACACGGUCCAGACUCCUACGGGAGGCAGCAGUAGGGAAUCUUCCGCAAUGGGCGAAAGCCUGACGGAGCAACGCCGCGUGAGUGAUGAAGGUCUUCGGAUCGUAAAACUCUGUUAUCAGGGAAGAACAAAUGUGUAAGUAACUAUGCACGUCUUGACGGUACCUAAUCAGAAAGCCACGGCUAACUACGU
rnacentral:rRNA from 1 species